GAGAAUACGAGAGAGAUAAUUGGAAGCAGACAUUUACUUUGCAGAGAGUAAAGAUUCAAGUUAGAUAGUUGUAUUUGUUUUGAAAAUUUAUUUUAGGGAUUUUAAAAACAAAUUUAAGCUCCCACUAUUUUUUCGAGUCUCUUACACUCCUCGAAUAGAGAAAUGGAAACACAACGCGACAAAAGGUUUCAAGUGGGUACUGCGGUCCCACCAAUUUAACGUACCACCUCACCUAACAGUUAUUGGUGAUAUAUAAACUGAUGAGUGGACAACUCUUGUCCAAUGCUUCUCAAGCAAAUUGCAGUGAUCGGUCUCUAAGUCCUGUAGGCUUCACCUGACAGUUAUUGGUCCCAUUCCUUAGUUAAGUCAGACCCACCGUUCAAACGCGUAAGUAAAGCCGUCAUUGGGUCCCUCACCUGACAGUUAUUGGGCCCAACCCCAUCUUUACUCCGCAGCAUCUCAUGCUAAUAGAGUGGUUGCGCAUAGGGAUGUCAACGGGUCGGAUUCGGGGCGGGUUUUUAAAAACCCGAACCCGAACCCGAACCCGACUACCAAAUCCGAAACCCGAACCCGAACCCGAGCAAAAAUCCGAAACCCGAACCCGAACCCGAACCCGAAAACCCGAACCCGAGCAAAAACCCGAAACCCAAACCCAACCAAAAACCCGAAACCCAAACCCGAUUCUAAACCCGAAAAUCCGAACCUGAAAAUAAUAUUUACCAAUUUCGAAACAUAUUAUACAAAAAAACUAAAAUUUCAAACUACAUAUUCAAAUACAAUAUUAAACAUUCAUGCCAUUCAAAAUACAUAUUCAAAUACAAUAUUAAACAUUCAUGCCAUAUAAUAGCGAUAUCAAAAUAUGAAAAAUACAAACUCAAAUACUUAAAAACAACAAUACAAUUUUCAUAUGUCUAAUAUAAAUGCACAACUUCUAAAUAGAGCACAACAUAAUAUGACAUUAAGAUUUAAAACAAUCUUCCACUAUGACAUUAACCAAGUCUCCUCCUCAUCAUCAUUCAAUUCUCCAAGUACAAGAUGCAUUA
rnacentral:lncRNA from 1 species